UGGCCUACGGGAGGCAGCAGUGAGGAAUAUUGGUCAAUGGGCGCGAGCCUGAACCAGCCAAGUCGCGUGAGGGAAGACGGUCCUAUGGAUUGUAAACCUCUUUUGUCGGGGAGCAAAAGACGCCACGUGUGGCGUUCCGAGAGUACCCGAAGAAAAAGAAUCGGCUAAAUCCGUGCCAGCAGCCGCGGGAAUACGGAGGAUGCGAGCGUUAUCCGGAUUUAUUGGGUUUAAAGGGUGCGCAGGCGGAAGAGCAAGUCAGCGGUAAAAUUGAGAGGCGCAAC
rnacentral:rRNA from 1 species